rnacentral:rRNA from 1 species
AGUGAACGCUGGCGGUAGGCCUAACACAUGCAAGUCGAACGGCAGCACAGGAGAGCUUGCUCUCUGGGUGGCGAGUGGCGGACGGGUGAGGAAUACAUCGGAAUCUACACUGUCGUGGGGGAUAACGUAGGGAAACUUACGCUAAUACCGCAUACGACCUACGGGUGAAAGCAGGGGACCUUCGGGCCUUGCGCGAUUGAAUGAGCCGAUGUCGGAUUAGCUAGUUGGCGGGGUAAAGGCCCACCAAGGCGACGAUCGGUAGCUGGUCUGAGAAGAUGAACAGCACAAUUGAACUGAGACACGGUCCAGACUCCUACGGGGGGCAGCAGGGGGGAAUAUUUGGCAAUGGGCGCAAGCCUGAUCCAGCCAUACCGCGUGGGUGAAGAAGGCCUUCGGGUUGUAAAGCCCUUUUGUUGGGAAAGAAAUCCAGCUGGCUAAUACCCGGUUGGGAUGACGGUACCCAAAGAAUAAGCACCGGCUAACUUCGUGCCAGCCGCCGCCGUAA